rnacentral:rRNA from 1 species
UACGAAGGGGGCUAGCGUUGCUCGGAAUCACUGGGCGUAAAGGGUGCGUAGGCGGGUCUUUAAGUCAGGGGUGAAAUCCUGGAGCUCAACUCCAGAACUGCCUUUGAUACUGAAGAUCUUGAGUCCGGGAGAGGUGAGUGGAAUUCCCAGUGUAGCGGUGAAAUGCGUAGAUAUUGGGAGGAACACCAGUGGCGAAGGCGGCUCACUGGACCGGAACUGACGCUGAGGCGCGAAAGCGUGGGGAGCAAACGGG